rnacentral:rRNA from 1 species
GACGAACGCUGGCGGCGUGCUUAACACAUGCAAGUCGAACGGAAAGGCCCUGCUUGCAGGGUACUCGAGUGGCGAACGGGUGAGUAACACGUGGGUGAUCUGCCCUGCACUUCGGGAUAAGCUUGGGAAACUGGGUCUAAUACCGGAUAGGAACCAUCUUUAGUGUGGUGGUUGGAAAGUUUUUUCGGUGUAGGAUGAGCUCGCGGCCUAUCAGCUUGUUGGUGGGGUAAUGGCCUACCAAGGCGGCGACGGGUAGCCGGCCUGAGAGGGUGUACGGCCACAUUGGGACUGAGAUACGGCCCAGACUCCUACGGGAGGCAGCAGUGGGGAAUAUUGCACAAUGGGCGCGAGCCUGAUGCAGCGACGCCGCGUGGGGGAUGAAGGCCUUCGGGUUGUAAACUCCUUUCGCUAGGGACGAAGCUUUGUUGUGACGGUACCUAGAUAAGAAGCACCGGCUAACUACGU